AUGCCUUAAACUUAUGAGUAAGGAAAAUAAUGAUUCGGGGUGACGCCCGGGUCCUCACUGCUUAUGUGAGAAGAAUUUUUGAACGGGUACAGGUCGUCCCUAAGGUGACCCGCCUACUUAGCAGGAUGCCUGGGAGGUUUGAUCUGCCCG
rnacentral:snRNA from 1 species